rnacentral:rRNA from 1 species
GACGAACGCUGGCGGCGUGCCUAAUACAUGCAAGUAGAACGCUGAAGAGAGGAGCUUGCUCUUCUUGGAUGAGUUGCGAACGGGUGAGUAACGCGUAGGUAACCUGCCUGGUAGCGGGGGAUAACUAUUGGAAACGAUAGCUAAUACCGCAUAAAAUUGAUUAUUGCAUGAUAAUUAAUUGAAAGAUGCAACUGCAUCACUACCAGAUGGACCUGCGUUGUAUUAGCUAGUUGGUGAGGUAACGGCUCACCAAGGCGACGAUACAUAGCCGACCUGGGAGGGUGAUCGGCCACACUGGGACUGAGACACGGCCCAGACUCCUACGGGAGGCAGCAGUAGGGAAGCUUCGGCAAUGGGGGGAACCCUGACCGAGCAACGCCGCGUGAGUGAAGAAGGUUUUCGGAUCGUAAAGCUCUGUUGUAAGAGAAGAACGGGUGUGAGAGUGGAAAGUUCACACUGUGACGGUAUCUGACCAGAAAGGGACGGCUAACUACGUG